rnacentral:piRNA from 1 species
UCCUACUUCAAGGAAUGCCACUCAAUUGGGU